rnacentral:rRNA from 1 species
GACGUAGGGCGCGAGCGUUGUCCGGAUUUAUUGGGCGUAAAGAGCUCGUAGGCGGCUUGUCGCGUCGACUGUGAAAACCCGCGGCUCAACCGCGGGCCUGCAUUCGAUACGGGCAGGCUAGAGUUCGGUAGGGGAGACUGGAAUUCCUGGUGUAGCGGUGAAAUGCGCAGAUAUCAGGAAGAACACCAAUGGCGAAAGCAGCUCUCUGGGACGGUACUGACGCUGAGACGCGAAAGCGUGGGGAGCGAACAGG